UUUUUCCCCUUUUUCCCCUUUUUCCCUUUUUUUCCCCCUUUUUUUCCCCUUUUCCCCCUUUUUUCCCCUUUUUCCCCACUAACCCCUCCACCUCUCCCCCACAGGCCGACGCUGCCUCUCGGCGCUCUCACCUGGUGCACCUGGGGAACCUCCCGCCCGACGGCUACCGGGAGCUGGAGCUGGUGUGCGCGGGGCUGCGCUUCGGCAAGGUGGAGCACUACGCCGUGCUCAGCAACCGGCAGCGGGCCAUCCUGCACCUGGACAGCCCCAAAUCCGCGCGCUCCAUGCACAGCUUCCUGCAGCAGUAUCCUUAUUCCAUAGGAGAACACACGCUCACCUGCUCCUUGUCCUCCCACGGAGACAUUCCCGAGGCUGAAACCGGGAAAAAGGAAGUGAAGAGAGAGGACGGGAGCAAAGGAAGCUCUGGCUUGAAAAAAAUCCCAGAGGGAACAGGAACGGUGCAAAAACCAGCUGGGAAUCCAUCGGGAGAGGCCAGGAAAGGCCAAAUUCCCACCCCAAAUGUCCCAGAGGAGAUUCCAGCGGGACAACUGGAGAUCCCCGAGUCGCAGGCAGGAGGAGCA
rnacentral:lncRNA from 1 species